CCCUUAGAUGUUCUGGGCCGCACGCGCGCUACACUGACGAAUGCAACGAGCUUAUAACCUUGGCCGAAAGGUCUGGGUAAUCUCCAAAUUUCGUCGUGAUGGGGAUAGAUUAUUGCAAUUAUUAAUCUUCAACGAGGAAUGCCUAGUAAGCGUAAGUCAUCAGCUUGCGUUGAUUACGUCCCUGCCCUUUGUACACACCGCCCGUCGCUCCUACCGAUUGAAUGGUCCGGUGAAGCGCUCGGACCGCGGCCUCUUGACGGUUCGCUGUCGAUUGGCUGUGGGAAGUUCGUUAAACCUUAUCAUUUAGAGGAAGGAGAAGUCGUAACA
rnacentral:rRNA from 1 species